CCCGCUGAAUUUAAGCAUAUAAGUAAGCGGAGGAUAAGAAACUAAAUAGGAUUCCCUUAGUAAUGGCGAAUGAACAGGGAUAAGCUCAGCAUGGAAAUUGGGGCCUCUGGCCUUGAAUUGUAGUCUUGAGAUGUGCUACCAACGGAGGCGCAGAUGUAAGCCUCUUGGAAAAGAGCGUCAGGGAGGGUGAGAGUCCCGUAUGUCAUCUGCAGUUCUCUGUGCACGGUACAUUUUCCAAGAGUCACGUUCCUCGGGAUUGGAGCGCAAAUUGGGUGGUAAAUUUCAUCUAAAGCUAAAUAUUGGUUCGAGACCGAUAGCAAACAAGUACCAUGAGGGAAAGGUGAAAAGGACUUUGAAAAGAGAGUUAAAAGUGCCUGAAAUUGCUGAAAGGGAAGCGAAUGGAACCAGUUGUUCUUGGCGAGUAUUGGUGUUGUCUAAAGUGAGGGCUUGCCACUUCAGCGCAAGUGUGGUGGCAGGUUUUGAUCUGGAUGCGAUACUGCAUCUCGCCUUGCAUGUCAACGUCAGUUCAUAAUUGAGGAAAACUCUAAGGACUUGGUAAUUUGCUUCCGGGUGACUGAAUGUCUCUAGUGGAACUCAUUUUUGAACUGCUUUUGUAUGUCUUGUUGCAAUGCUCUGCGUGCUUGCCUGUGAUCCGGUGCUUGCUCUGUUUGGCAUGGGGUUGCUGGUGCCUGGAGCAUGUCCUUGACAUAAGUACGAUGACGAAAUGGUUUUAUUCGACCCGUCU
rnacentral:rRNA from 1 species